rnacentral:rRNA from 1 species
GACGUAGGGCGCGAGCGUUGUUCGGAUUCACUGGGCGUAAAGGGUGCGUAGGUGGCCAGGUAAGUUUGGUGUGAAAGCUCGGAGCUUAACUCCGAAAUGUCAUUGAAUACUAUCUGGCUGGAGGGUCGGAGGGGAGACUGGAAUUCUCGGUGUAGCAGUGAAAUGCGUAGAUAUCGAGAGGAACACCAGUGGCGAAGGCGAGUCUCUGGACGACUCCUGACACUGAGGCACGAAAGCUAGGGGAGCAAACAGG